GACGAACGCUGGCGGCGUGCUUAACACAUGCAAGUCGAACGGAAAGGCCCUGCUUUUGUGGGGUGCUCGAUUGGCGAACGGGUGAGUAACACGUGAGUAACCUGCCCUUGACCUUGGGAUAACUUUAGGAAACUGGGGCUAAUAUCGGAUAGGAGCUCCUGCUGCAUGGUGGGGGUUGGAAAGUUUCGGCGGUUGGGGAUGGACUCGCGGCUUAUCAGCUUGUUGGUGGGGUAGUGGCUUACCAAGGCUUUGACGGGUAGCCGGCCUGAGAGGGUGACCGGCCACAUUGGGACUGAGAUACGGCCCAGACUCCUACGGGAGGCAGCAGUGGGGAAUAUUGCACAAUGGGCGGAAGCCUGAUGCAGCAACGCCGCGUGCGGGAUGACGGCCUUCGGGUUGUAAACCGCUUUCGCCUGUGACGAAGCGUGAGUGACGGUAAUGGGUAAAGAAGCACCGGCUAACUACGUG
rnacentral:rRNA from 1 species